rnacentral:lncRNA from 1 species
UUAAAUUAAUUCUAAAAUCCAAAUCAAUGAUAAAAGGAUAUAAAUUGAAUAAGGAACAUAAACUAAAGUACUAAUAAUUAAACCAAAUCUUAUAGACCUUCGAUGGCAACACCCAACAGAAGAAAUAAAAUAGACAUUUCAGUGGUGGCUAAGAAGGCAAAAAGAGUCAGCAAUGGCAAGAGCAAGAACCUAGUCUAACUCCGGCGAAAGCCUUGCUCAUAAAAGCAAAAAGCAGCACUGACGAUGAUGGCUGUAGCACCCAGAUAGUGGUGGAAGCACUAACCCGAAGGACAAUAGUAUCGGCUAAACCAUUAUUAGCCUCUACUACACCAACAAUGACGCUAUUGACACCUGCUCUAUCGCACGAGCCACUUCUCCGACAACUAUAAGAGCCUAUCCUACCUGCCUUCGAAGUAAUAACUAUGACACGAAAAAGAUCACCAAACUGAGAAGGAGAAGAAAAAGGGAAAAAAAAGAGAAGGAGAGGGCCAUCGUCA